GCUGUGAGCUCUCUGUCAUGGUGGCAGCUGUGCUUUGUGGACACUUGGAGCAGUCCGCACCUGCUCCCAGUGCCCAUGAGUACAGCUGUAAAGCUAUGGUGGAUUGUAAAUGGUCUCUGAAGCCUUUGGACAUGCAGUAAAGAUAUAAUAAUCCCUAAAUAUAUCAAUAUUUUAAUGACAAUUAUACAUUAUUUCCAUUAACCUUUAUAUGACCACUUAAAAAAUGGCCUAUCGCUCCUUUUCAUAGUACUCUAAGGACCCUUGUCUUGUUUUCCUACAUGUCUGCUUCACACAUGCUAUAUCCAAGUAACUCCUCUUUUUGGCAAAGAUCUCUAUUCUCCAUAUGUUCAUUAGCAGUAGGUACAGUAAACGGUCUUCAUAGCAGCUGUGUCUUUGGGAAGUGGAAGCAGAGGGCCCCUGCUGAAGCUACCCAAGGCUAGUUAUAUACUGUGGUACAUUACAAGUUUGUCUCCUCAGCCUUAGGUCCUGCUCCCCAUCAUAUGUCCCAUGCAAGCCCAGCCUAUAAAAUGCACAGCUAACAUUCACGGUGAUGCUAAAGUUAUCAGAUCUACAGCACCAGUUGACAUACAGCCAACACUUAGUGUCUAGUUCAUUGUCAAAAGAAAUGUUUGUGCCUCCUUUGUUACAACAGAUCUAGCAAUGUGAAGCGAGGGGCCAUAAUGUAUAAAGAGAGGUCUUCACCUCCAACUGCGUCUGCUGAAGAAAUGCUUCUGUCCAAUCACUAGACUACUGGCAAAUGAGAUCAGGUGUAGAAUGUUGACAAAAACCUCACAUCCAGGCUGCAAGUUGGUUAUCAGGUCAAGCUGCUGUUUGCUGCAUGAAAAGGACACAUCUGCUGCUCAAGAUCUGCUACGUCAUUCUGCUGCACAAGAUGAGAUUUCGCUGGGACACCAUUCAAGUAUGACAAGGAUUCAACCAGAUUCGUCAGUCCUCAGACGUGUUCAGAACGCCACGUUGAUUUUGUUUUAUAUACAGAUCUUCAAGCACUGGACAAAAUGUCUACAUGAAACAUUUCUCCGUUACAUCAGCC